AACGAACGCUGGCGGCAUGCCUAACACAUGCAAGUCGAACGAGACCUUCGGGUCUAGUGGCGCAUGGGUGCGUAACGCGUGGGAACCUGCCCUUAGGUUCGGAAUAACUCCCCGAAAGGGGUGCUAAUACCGGAUAAUGUCUUCGGACCAAAGAUUUAUCGCCUUUGGAUGGGCCCGCGUUGGAUUCGCAAGAUGGUAGGGUAAAAGGCUACCAAGGCGACGAGCCAUAGCUGGUCUGAGAGGCUGAUCCGCCACACUGGGACUGAGACACGGCCCAGACUCCUACGGGAGGCAGCAGUGGGGAAUAUUGGACAAUGGGCGAAAGCCUGAUCCAGCAAUGCCGGGUGAGUGAUGAAGGCCUUAGGGUUGGAAAGCUCUUUUACCCGGGAUGAUAAUGACAGUACCGGGAGAAUAAGCUCCGGCUAACUCCGUG
rnacentral:rRNA from 1 species